GACGAGCGCUGGCGGCGUGCUUAACACAUGCAAGUCGAACGGGAUUUAGUAGACAGAAACCUCGGUGGAAGAUUACUAAUGAGAGUGGCGAACGGGUGAGUAACGCGUGAGCAACCUGCCUAUGACAGUGGGAUAGCCUCGGGAAACCGGGAUUAAUACCGCAUAAAAUCGUAGAAACACAUGUUUCAACGGUCAAAGAUUUAUCGGUCAUAGAUGGGCUCGCGUCUGAUUAGCUAGUUGGUGAGAUAACAGCCCACCAAGGCGACGAUCAGUAGCCGGUCUGAGAGGAUGAACGGCCACAUUGGAACUGAGACACGGUCCAAACUCCUACGGGAGGCAGCAGUGGGGAAUAUUGCACAAUGGGGGAAACCCUGAUGCAGCGACGCCGCGUGAACGAAGAAGGUAUUCGUAUCGUAAAGUUCUGUCCUAUGGGAAGAUAAUGACAGUACCAUAGAAGAAAGCUCCGGCUAAAUACGUGCCAGCAGCCGCGGUAAUACGUAUGGAGCGAGCGUUGUCCGGAAUUAUUGGGCGUAAAGGGUACGCAGGCGGUUUAAUAAGUCGAAUGUUAAAGAUCGGGGCUCAACCCCGUAAAGCAUUGGAAACUGAUAAACUUGAGUAGUGGAGAGGAAAGUGGAAUUCCUAGUGUAGUGGUGAAAUACGUAGAUAUUAGGAGGAAUACCAGUAGCGAAGGCGACUUUCUGGACACAAACUGACGCUGAGGUACGAAAGCGUGGGGAGCAAACAGG
rnacentral:rRNA from 1 species